ensembl:lncRNA
CGCAGAAAUUUUGUUUCUAUGUAGCAUAGACCUCCUAAGGAAUUCUGUUUCUUUUAGCAUUGAGAUCCCUGGUGCUCUUUUUUUACCUCAGAAUUGGUACAAUCAUUAUUAAAUGUUAAUUUAUUUCAAACUUUUUAAUUGAAAAAAGGAAAGGGAAGCUUAAUUGGGGAUAAAUUCAGGCAUCAUAUUAUUAUGAUAGAGUCUCAUGAGGGGUUUGUCUAUAGGUAAUGAACUCAUUGGUGUUAUUUCUUGGACAUCUUGGCCUUUUAAUCGAAGACUGUGUGCUGCUAUUUGCUAUCAGCAAGGUUUCUCAAAAGCAAAAGGUGCUUGGACCACUUGGAUCACCUGAGUUAGAAUCUCUAGGUAUAAGGCCUAAGUAUCUGCAUUUUCACUGGUUUCCUGUAGGUGACUUUUGCAAGCUAAAGUAUGAGAACCAUUGACUUAGAUGUAGCUCUAAACUUUUAGGUCUGUAAAUCUUGAAAUGUUGAACUGAAGGUCAACUGUUGGCUUUUUUUUUUUAAUGUCCAUCAUGUAAGCAGGUGCAAAUCACUUUUCCCCUUUGCAUGAUCUGAGGCACCACCUCAGUUGUUUCACUGCCAGCUCUUAUUUCAGAACCUGUUUACAAACAAGCCUUCCAGUUGGUGAAUGGUUAGCCAUUGGAGCUCCUACCCUGUACAUCAGCACAUCUGGUUUACAAGUUGGGUAACAAUGAAAGCUGGAGAUGCUAAAUGGAAAUCCAGCAAUGCAUACCCUUAGACCUGAUCACAUACCAGUAAAAGCCUUAAUUUAGAUGUUAGUUGUAUGUGUUGGACAGAUCCUUGCAAAAAGUGUGUCUAUUAGUUGUAAAUUUGAAAGUUAUAAAUCUCUGAAUCUGCCAUUAUCCAAGUUUCAUCCCUUUUGAAGAUGAGGCAUGAGCCUAUUAAAAUAUUUAUAAUCAUUUUCCAUCUCCUACUGCAAGACCUUUAGAUUCUUAAAAAUGAUUACUAUAGGAAUAGUGGCCACUUAAUGUCAGUUACUCUGGUGGAAGAAUUUUUUUUUUUCUUUUCUUUUUGGGAAGGAUGGUGUAAAAAAUAGCAAGAUUAGAGAAUGAGUUGUAUAGUUUUUUCUAUCACAUUUCAUCUAAAAUGAUUUGAAGGACUUUUGAAGAUUUUUGCCAACAUCCUUAAAUCAACUCCAGAUUGAAUGAACAACUGAUUUAAAACAAACUAAGAACAUUAACUAGAUGUGGGCUUUUUAAAAUAUAUAGGUAUUGCAUUUCCUACCUUGUUAUUUAUUCCACUUUGAAUACUUUAGAGGGGUUAACUUUCAACUCUUUAAGUAGUAACGGAUGUUUUAUACUUGUUCUCACAAAAUUGUUAUGGUCAGUUUAUAUCAUUGCUCCAUGCAUUGAUUAUAAAAAUUCAGUAUUAAUUUUUUCUCUGAUUGAUCUUAUAAGCUUUAGAGUUUUCUCUUAUAAAGUGUUUCACCUUAUUAUGUAAAACAAAUGCCUGCUUGCAUAUUGGAAGAUGUUGAAAUUAGUUUUAGACAAAAAUGGUCCAUCAGUUCAGACACUCUGCUUGGAUGCCUUACCCUUUUCAUUAGUGCAUUCUUUGCUUCUGAAACUUGGCAGAAACUCGUUAGCCAGUCCACUGCCUUUCUGAAAAUGUGUGGAGUCACGUAUGCUUGGUAUAUGCCUUUACUACUUUUAAAGUUCUACAGUUUAUUACUUGCCCAAGUAUUACUAAAUCCUUUUCUUACAUGUACUGGAUGGAGAAAAAAUUAUAGCCAGCACUUUGAGAGGAAAGUUUUCGGAAACGAUAUUAACUGGCACUACUAACUGAAGGCCACAGAAGAUGCUAUCAAUGUUAUUUGUAACCUGAAGAUUGAACAAGGCUGUGAGGCUCAUUUCAAACUAUUUUGAGGUGUUAAAUUAUAUAUAUGCUGUUUCUCAGCUGUUCCACUCAAACCGUGUUAGGACUCUCAAAGGUAAAAUGUCACAGGGGCAUUUCAGUUGUUACUGAGCUCAGCAGCUGUGGUGGCCCCUGUUCUACACCAAUUUCAGUUCAAUAAAAAUGUUAACUUU